GCCACCCUAGCUCAGAGGCAGAGCAACUCCAUGGUAAGGAGUAGGUCGUGGGUUCAAGUCCCACGGGUGGCU
rnacentral:tRNA from 2 species